GUCAUUGCCGGUCUGCGGGAUGGUGACGGGUGCCGCAAGGGACUGAAAGAGUGAGUCGAGGGUUGCUCAGAUGAUGAUGGAGCAUCUCAGCGAGACGUGUCCGGGCAAGGAGAACGUAGAGCUGGUCAACUGCAUCGUCGAGGCCAAACCGCCACCGGCCAAGCUGCCCCGCAUGGAGCGGAACGGCAGCCCUCAGGGGAGGGCCAGGUGGGUCGGCACUGGUGCCAACUUGGCCGGACUCCCUUACAAGCCCGCCGAUCACCUGCUGAAGACCUGCCACGAGCGAGGUACAUUGCUUUUCAAGACUACAAGUCCACAUCGAUAUCAGUAAUAACCACAGGGAUUUCUUGUCGUUAAGAAUUCCUGUUAUUAAUUUGUAUUUACUAGGGCUGCCACGAUUAAUCAAAUUAUUCAACAACUAUUUUGAUCGUCCAUGAAUCCUUUUAAAGACAUUGUUCAUCUAAAAAUGAUCCAAAUAUUCAUUUUUCUUCUUACCGGUAAAUAUUCUUAUUUUUUGAUUGGUUGGUGAAAUUGCACCCAAGUCCGUUUUUAGUAAAAUUGCUUUAAUUGCCUUUGUGUUAAAAUUGAAUUUGAAUGACAAGCAUGCUACGGAUCAGCUUCCAAUUCAAAUUUACAUGGUACAAACACCACUUUAAUGACGAUGCGAUUUUCGCCGUUAUUCCAAACCAUAGACUUCACUAUCACUUGACAAGACGGCUCCCACUAACAUUGUGAACACCUUCCCGUUGGGGGCCGGCCCAGGCAGAGCUGAGUAGGCUUUGACUGUGAUGAACUCAAACGCCGGAUUUAGGUGGAAACGGGACAAUUUUUUUUUUUAGGGCUGCAGCUAUCGAAUAUUUUAGUAAUCGAGUAAUCGACUGAAAAUUCUAUCGAUUAAUCGAGUAAUCGGAUAAAACAAAUAUAUUUUUAGGUGAAGAGCAAUUAUAAAUAUACAUGAGAAAACAAGACAUUUCAUCUAAUCUUGAACCAUUUUCAGUCAAUCAAUGUCUUUAUUUUCGAUGUAUAUUGUUGAAAACAGCCAACAAUUGCAUCUGAGAUGUAACUAGAAUUAAAAAAAAUAAAAAAAUGACUAAUUCACUGCUUUCACUCAAAAAACUUUUAGAUCUUAUUAAAAAAAAAAAAAAAAAAAAAAAUACAUAUAUAUAUAUAUAUCUUACCUAAAAAUGCCGUUACGCUUGAUAACACACAUCACUUAAAAGUUAGGAUUUUUCCCCACGUUUUAAUUGAAUUUCUACUUUUGUCAAGCCAUUUUUAAGUUCUAGUUAAGUUUUAAGUUAGUCUAAACUGUAAGCCCUGAUAGGAUUUUGAGUUUUUGCAGUGUUCAAAAUAAAUGUAUGAUACAGGCUGUAUUGGAGCACAUUAGGGACCAGUGCUACUUGGUGUUUUAUCCAGCAAUGACUACCGAGCUAAAAUUGAUUUUUAGCAUUAUUAAGUUUUUAUUUUACACCCUCAUCACUCCACAAUGCUAUGUUAUGUUAAAGCCUGUAUGUAAGACAUGUUAGCCACGAAUCGACACUGGUCAUAAUUAAUAGAAACCUAGCCCUCCGCAGGGCUAAUGUUGCGUGAGCUAGUAGUGACAGUAUCGUUAAUCUUAUUUAUUAGCGCUUAGCGCUCUACUGCUUUAAGAUGGCGGCUGUUUACUAACGCUGCCCAGAUGCGGCCGAGUCUGUCAUUUCGCAUCUAGUUCAACAUACAUGUGAUCUCUAUGAGGCGCAUCAGACGCUACCUGCAACCAACGUAGCAUCGUGCGGGCUAGUAUUUAGCAACGUCGGGGUCGUUUAUGGCGGCUGUUGGCUGCAGUAAGUUUUUUUUUUUUCCCCUUCCUCUCCGCACGCGACAUCAGCGCGUUGUCCCGCAUUAAAAGUAGUCCGAGCGAAACGUGAUGCUUAGAGCUGUCAAAAUAAAUGAUAACUCGAGGUGAAUAAAAUUACUCGGAUCAGUUUUAAACUCGAGUUACUCGAGUUGCUCGAGUAUUCGUUUCAGCUCUAAUUUUUUUACCGCAUACAAUCAGGCAAGAUUGUCUAAAGGGUGAUUUGGUUGCAGAUUCAAGGUAGUUAAAAAGAGCCCUAUGCAUGCACUUUCAACUUAAAAAGCUCUUUGUUUUGUGACGGCCACGCCGCCACAUUAGAUUAUACAAUAACGUCAUUUUAGCUCGAAAUAUUCACAUAAAAUGAAUGAUAACUGCCCUUUUCUUUGCUUUUAACCAAGAAUCUAGGCUGUUCUAUGUUUAUACCUAUAGAAAUCUUGAUGUAUUCCUUUAUUUACGAGAAUUUUUGACCUAGCUUUGUUUUGUGAUGGCCGCCAUGUUGUAUUGUAAGUUUAAAGGUCAUUUUCAGCCAACAUUUUGGCAAAAAAGAAGUCAUUUAGACAUUUCUGCGUCCCUACAAAAAAAAAAAAAUCACCUUUUCCGUGUUUUAUUUUAUGUAACAUCUCAAAACAACGAGGGCCAGGUAGCCAGACGUGUAUGGAGCCAGAUCAGUUUCAUAAGGAACACACACACAUGCGCGAUGCACACAUUCAUUUAACACGAAACACACACGUAUUGUGGGAUUUGUAAACACAUAGGACACGAAACACACGUAUUGUGGGAUUUGUAAACUCAUAGCACGAGACACGAGUAAUGGCGUCUGGCAAUUACGGUGAAGUGAGCCGUGGUCGAUAUACGGUCAAGCCAGCCGUACUUUCAUUUCAGUUGCGUGUCCGUUUCAGCUUUUAUUGCACAGAGACUGACAACAUAUGUGUAUUGCGUCAAGUUUAUAAAAGAAAAUAAUGACAGGGACAUCGUGUUGAUCCAGUGGCCUCGGAAGUCGGAAGUGAACAAAAUUAACUUGACAAGGAUGGAUUGCAAAUUCCAGACGGACGGCCUACAACGAAAUAAUUAAAAACGGUGAGUUUAUUUGAAAGUUAAAAGACCAUGUUAUUAAAAACAAACAAACAGCGUUUUGUAGGGAUGGGAAUUGAAAGGAUUUUUAAGAUUCCGAUUCCAUUAUCGAUAUUGCUUAACGAUUCAGUUCUUUAUCAAUUCUCUUAUCGAUUUUAAUUUUGGUCACAACUUACAAACUCACAACGAGGUCAAAAGAGGCCCAAAGCCUCAAUGUUAAACUGUGGCAAUAAGUGGCAAAUAUGCAAGAAUGUGUAACAUUUUACUGAAACUUUUCUCUAAUAGAAAUAAAAAAUAUUGGUAUAUAUUGGCAUAUUGGUUGUUGUUCUGCCUUUGGCAAUAUGUGUUAAACGCAGGGGUCCCCAAUCUUUUUCCUGUGAGGGCCACAUACUCUUUUCCCUUCUCUGAUGAGGGGCUGGGGUCAGUUUGUAACAGAAAAAGUGUGACCAUUGCAGGAGUGCCAAAUGUAAAAAUUUAUUUUCAGAAAGCCACAAUCAAAUAACCCUUUCUGGAUUCUUCACGGAACAAAAGUAAAUAAAAUAAAAAUAAUAUAUAAUAUAAUACAAUAUAAUAUAAUAAUAAAAACACCAUUAAUUAAAUAGAUAAUAACCAAAUAACCCUCUCUGAGUUCUUCACAGAAAAGGCCAGGAAAUAAAUAACACUAUUGAGAAAAAAAAAAAAAUUCAAAAUGCUCUCUGGUAUUGUUCAGGGGGGCCGGACCAAAUGUGGAGGCGGGCCGUAUUCGGCCCGCAGGCCGUAGUUUGGGGUCCCCUGGGUUAAAGUGUAUUAUUUACCAUUAUAUUGAAAUGCAUGCCUUUUAGUUUUUAUGGCGCUUUCACGCUCAAGUGGGGGCGCCCUUGCGCUUCCUCACGCGAAGAAGAACUCGCUCGCGUGAAGACCGCGCUUACACGCGAAGAAGAAAUAGUGUUAGUGAGAGAGGGAAACAUUGCUACGAGCCUACGUUCUUUGUUUUUGUUCAUGUUUGUAAAAUAUCUAUAGAGGCAGUGCCUGUAUGUAUCAUCUUUUGUGUUGUUGUGUGUUUCCACUCGCGAUCGGACACUUAAAUCAAGUUGUGUAGUGGUUUGAACGAUGUGCUUAUGCUAGCGAACACAUGCUAACCAUUUAUUAUUACUGUAUUAGCAGCUAAUCAUCGCUGAUUUACGUUGAUGCAAACCUAUUUGUUAUUGGGGACGAAAUUGAUUUGCUUAAUUUCUAUUUUUAUUUUCACUCUUCAAGUGAUGGUUGAAUAAAGUCAGCAAAUUAUAUUGCAUCGUCAUUUGGGAGUUUAGCUAGCUGUAUAGCCAGGACUGAGCUUUAGCGUCUCGGUGAGGACAGUACAGUCGUUUUCCCUCCCGAUGCAGUUAUCUCCACCUUGCAAUGACUGCAAAUUUUUCCUCGUGAAGCGAAGACGCACUUUCGAGCGUUUGAACCUACGUGCUGUCGUUGUUAUGUUUACGGCUGCAAUGCUCGUGCUAAACCAUCGUAACCUUUCAUCUUCACCCUCUUUCCUGGUGAAGUGUAGCCAAACUUUGGAGCGAGUGGUUCUUGGCGCCAUGCUAGUUUGAUGCGUCUGGACAACAAGACACGUCACGACGCAAUACGUAUCUUUAGGAAUCGUUAAAGGGAUCAUUAAGGCUUUUUCAUUGUGAUGUCGAGGCCUCGAAACACUAGGAACCGCUUCGGAAUUGGAAUCGGAUUUCGAUUCCCAUCGCUAGCGUGUUGUACUAGUUAAGAAGGUAAACCCAAUUAAAUGUUUAUGAUGUUCCAACAAGUGAAUAUUAUUUACUCACCUGAGUUACGCUACUGGCCUGUUGUUUUAAAUAGUACAGUGAUCAAUAGUUUUUGUAAUCAGUCCUUUUUUUUUUAGAUGUAGUUUAGUCCAAAGGUGAUGUGUAAGUAUUUAUUUGUUACAAACUUGGUCAUUAACCAUGUGUUUUCAUUAACAAAACGUUUAUUUGUUUGCAAAUUUAUAAUUUUAAAGGGUAUGAAAACGCAAAGGGGGUGUGAGACAUCAAUAGAACCGUUAUGUGCCAAGAUAACAAAUAUUGAUAAAGUUAACAAAAAAAUCAAUCACAUUAAUGAGCAAUUAUCGAAAAUAGAUCGCAAAUGACGAACAUUUCCGAAAGUGUUCCGGAAACAGUCGAAUGGGGCGGAGACGUCAUAACAAGGAAACAAAAGGUCGAGGCAGGUGCCAUCGUUGUUUAUCGACGAGAGAGUUGCGUUCGUGUUUUAUCAAAAAAUCACUAAAAUGGUUCAAAUGUGUCAUGCUAUGUGGUUUACAAAUAGCCAUUUGUCGAAAUGUAGUACCCAUGAGUUCCCGAACGCGAGAAAAAGAGCUGGACUACGCAGACAAUGAGUAAAGUUUGUCAGUGCUAAGAGGGCUAAUUUUGCAAUUUUACAGGGAAACGGGAACCUGAUGAGCCAGAGGAUGUGCCUACAACCUCAAAGAAAACAAAAUUUAUGCUACUUCCCAAUCACUAAAGACCCACGAACUGCGAAGGAGUUAAUUUGUGACCCGUAUGUGAAUAAAUCGAGUGAUUCGAGCAUGUCUGUGGAACAGGAAUAUCAGCUUGUAGAGAUCGCAAGUCACGGCGACUUAAACGUACAUUUGAGACAACAACUCUACCGAAGUUCUGGAUUAAAGUCAUUUCGGAAUAUCCCAACAUCGCUAGGAGCGCGCUGAAAACUGUGCUACAAUUUCCAACAUCGUGUAUUUGUGAUGCUAGCUUCUCUCACUCUCCCAUCUCGGGACCAUCUCGUCUCAACGAAACAAACUCAGCCCUCCCACUGAUUCAGCAGGUGAGUUGUAUUUUUUCCCUGCACUUAACACGACGGGGCUAAAAACAAAUGCUAUUUUAUAUUUGCUGUAUUUUUCUGCCGCACAUUGCCGGCAGAAAAAUGCAGCGAUGCAGCGAUUCCUAAGUACACACUACAAACUUUCUUUAAAGAAAGGAAUAUUAACUUACGUUUGCCAUGUUUGGCGCACACAACAACUGCACGUAGCCCUCUCACUUAACGACUUCGCCGUGUCGUUAAGCGUUAAUUUACGCCAUUUCCGUGUUGCACAUGUAUGUUUGUGAUGGAAAUAGUUUUUUAGCACCAUUGGAUAACAUUGAGAGUCCAACUGAAUAUAAAAGAGGGACACCGGUCCGUGAAAAAAAGACCCAAAUCACACCGGUCCGUGGUGCAAAAAAGUUAGGGGACCCCUCCCCAAAUUCCAUUCAUAUUUGUGUCUGUUGGCAGAGCGAAACCGAUGAUAGCAUAUUAAAUGAUAAAUAUUCUAUACAUUAUUUUGCGGUCAUGGUGUAUCAGCUUCACAAAAAGAAAUGCAAAAUAAACCAUUCGGUGAUUCUGUUGCCGCCGGUGUUUCAUCAGUGUGAUUGCUCCCCUCAAUGAUCCUUUCAUUAGGCUGCAUUGGGUUUCGUUUGGGCUCAAAUUGAUAACCCAAAACACCAAAGAAAGGUUCAUAACUCUCCUCGUCACCAUUAGAAGAAUGUUCGUUACGUCAGAUUCGUCGCUGCAAAUAGAAACAAAAUUGUCGGCCAUCAUCGCCGCCAUUCAGUACUAAGCACUGAGCCGGCUGUUUCCCGAAAGUGACGUCACGCACACAAUAUGCUAGAUUUCCGGCAUCUCGGGCGCGGGUCCUUUUAGCUUGACAAUCGACCUAAUUUCUAUCAUUUUCUUGUUGUUGCGAUGUGUGUAAUUACACGACGUGGCAUGAUAUGAAUUCAAAAGGCAUGCGUUGAUGGAUAAAUGAUGGAAUAUUAGCAUUUCCCCAGGUGUUGUCAUACCCUUUAACGUGUUGUUGUUGUUUAUCUCUUUGAGAUGGAUCCAGUAUUCAAAAGGAGACCUGAUGGGUGCAUAAUUUUGAAUGACUCCCAAGAGGCGAUACGGUUCAAGAGGGAAUAUGAAGUUACAACAAGCGGAAAAAGAACCAGGAAGUACUUGUGCUGCAACAAGGUAUCAUACACUCUGAUGCACCACAGACUGGUCCUGUACACCUUAUAGUCUUUCCACGCCUCAAAAGGCAAUUUUUGCUACCCCCCAGCUGGCAAUGAGUAUGUUGGUGCUGCCACAAAACACAACUGGGAUGGCUAAAGUGAAAAAGCACCCCCACUUUGCUGCCACAGCACUGUCAACUAUGGUGUAAUAUUAUGUAUAUUAGGGCUGUCCCAAGUACUAAUUUUCUCCCAAUUAAUCAGCCGACAAUUUUUACAUUUAUUCGACUAAUAUAAAAACUUUUUUUUUUUUUUUAAUACUAAUAAUGAAUUUUCUGUUGAAGCUUAUUAACUCACAGAAAAACAUUUUGAAACGCUUACAUUUUUUAAACCCGUCAUUACCUGUUGACGCAUUUAUGUCAUCGAUGACGUCAACAUUGUCGACUAGUCGGGACAGCUCUAAUGUAAAUAUGUUUCCAAGUCUGUUUGAAAUGAACAUCUAACUUCUUCAUUUUGUAUUGCAGCCUUUGAUUUUUUAAAAAUGUUUUAAGGGCAUAGGUUUUGGCUGCGUACAGUGGGGCAAAUAAGUAUUUAGUCAACCACCAGUUGUACAAGUUCUUGAAACGUACUUGAAAAGAUUAGAGAAGCCUGUAAUUGUCAACAUGGGUAAACCUCAACCAUGAGAGACAGAAUGUGGAGAAAAAAACAGAAAAUCACAUUGUUUGCUUUUUAAAGAAUUUAUUUCCAAAUUAGAGUGAAAAAUAAGUAUUUGGUCACCUACAAACAAGCAAGAUUUCUGGCUGUCAAAGAGGUCUAACUUCUUCUAACGAGGUCUAACGAGGCUCCACUUGUUACCUCUGUUAAUGGCACCUGUUUUAACUCAUUAUCGGUAUAAAAGACACCUGUCCACAAUCUUAGUCACACUCCAAACUCCACUAUGGCCAAGACCAAAGAGCUGUUGAAGGACACCAGAAACAAAAUUGUAGACCUGCACUAGGCUGGUAAGACUGACUCUGCAAUAGGUAAAACACUUGGUGUAAAGAAAUCAACUUUGGGAGCAAUUAUUAGAAAAUUGAAGACAUACAAGACCACUGAUAGUCUCCCUCGAUCUGGGGCUCCAUGCAAGAUCUCACCCCGUGG